rnacentral:rRNA from 1 species
AUUGAACGCUGGCGGCAUGCUUUACACAUGCAAGUCGAACGGCAGCGCGGGCGUCGGCCUGGCGGCGAGUGGCGAACGGGUGAGUAAUGCAUCGGAACGUGCCCAGUAGUGGGGGAUAGCCCGGCGAAAGCCGGAUUAAUACCGCAUACGACCUGAGGGUGAAAGCGGGGGACCGAAAGGCCUCGCGCUAUUGGAGCGGCCGAUGUCGGAUUAGCUAGUUGGUGGGGUAAAGGCUUACCAAGGCGACGAUCCGUAGCUGGUCUGAGAGGACGACCAGCCACACUGGGACUGAGACACGGCCCAGACUCCUACGGGAGGCAGCAGUGGGGAAUUUUGGACAAUGGGGGCAACCCUGAUCCAGCCAUGCCGCGUGCGGGAAGAAGGCCUUCGGGUUGUAAACCGCUUUUGUUCGGGAAGAAAUCCUCUGGGCUAAUACCCCGGGGGAUGACGGUACCGGAAGAAUAAGCACCGGCUAACUACGUG